rnacentral:lncRNA from 1 species
CGGCUCUGCGGCGGCGGCUGCACGCCCAGCCUCUGCGCCUGCGUCGCAAGUAGGAUGAACAAUCAUGGUGAAAGAGAAGCCCAGCCGGCAGCCAGCACCAAUCGCCAGCUGUGUGAGUGUGGCCAUCCUGGAUCAUCCAGCCCCAGCUGCCCCACCAGCUGACAGCAGCCACACAAGUGACCCCAGUUGAGACCAAUAAAAGAUCUGCCCAUCUGAUACAGCCCAAACUGCUGAACCCCAGAAUCAUGAACAAAUAAGUAAAAGAAAAGAACACUGGUUGUAUUUUAUGGUUGCACUAUGUCCAGCAGAAAAAGGCAUUCCUCAGUCUCCUUGCAGCAAGGUAAAGCCAUCUGAUAAAAUUUUGUCCAGUUGGAUAUAAGCCAAAAUGUUGCGUGACAAUUUUGGGAGGACUUCCUGAAACAGGUGGACAAACCCUUUUUCUACUGAGUCACCUUUGUGCCACCUGGAACUAACAGUGUGACGCGUGGAAUUUAGGCAGCCAUAUUGAACCAUGAGGACAAGAGCAGUGGGGAUGGCGGAACCAAGAGCUGGAAGGUGCCUGAGUCUCUGGUGAAGAUGUGGAGCUGCUGUAACAGCCCUCAACUCCUAGUUCUGGACUUCUUUUAUGUUUUAGUGUAACGCUUUGGGUAUUUUUAUUUUUUUAAUUUAUUUUAGAGAUGAGGUCUCACUAUGUUGCCUAGGCUGGACUCAAACUCUUAUGCUCAAGCAGUCCUCCUGCCUCAGCUUCAUGAGUAGCUGAAACUAUAGCACUUUGGGUAUUUCAGCCACUGUUUGAGGUUUUUCUAGCACCUCCUGGAAUAUCAAGCUUAACAUGUCCAAUCCUUGCCCCAGAUAUUUUCCUCCCCAAAUUUUCUCAAUCUCAAUAAAUGUCACCACCAUCCACCUGGUUGCUCAGGUCAAAAACCUAGAAAUCAUUCAAGUUCUCUCCCUUUCCCUCAUCCCCAAUAUCCAUUCCAUCAGCAACAUCUGUCCAUUCUACCUCCAAGACAUAUCCCAGAUCUCAUCACCUUUGUCUGCCUCUCCUACCCUCACUCUCAUCCAGCAUCAUCCCUCACCUGGACUCUGCAAAAGCCUACUCGUGGGUCUGUCUGCAUCCCUGUCUGCCUCCUCCAGGGCCAUUCUCCACCCAGUGGCCGGAUCGAUUUUUCAAAGAGGUUGAUCCCAGCUCAACCACUUGCCAUCUGUGUGACCUGUGGGCAAGUGACCUUACCUUUCGGAGCCUCAGUUGCCCCAUCUAUAAAAUGGGAAUGAUGCCAGUGCCUGCCUCAUAAGGAUGAGCCCCGCUCCUGAAGCUCAGGGAGCCCUCUCUGCAAGGCUGUUUUAGUGCAACCUCCGGAAACAUGCCCAUGCAUGUGAAAACUGGCAUGCACAUUCUGGUGCUUUUAAAAACAUCUCGAAGCCUAUCCACAGAUCCUGGACCUCAAGACUGGUUCAGUGCUAGCCCCCCAUUUUACAGAUGUGGAGAAUGAGGCUUAGCGGGUCCCAGGCAAGUCAGUGGCAAA